CUACGGGAGGCAGCAGUGGGGAAUCUUGCACAAUGGACGAAAGUCUGAUGCAGCGACGCCGCGUGAGCGAUGAAGCCCUUCGGGGUGUAAAGCUCUUUCGACAGGAACGAUAAUGACGGUACCUGGAGAAGAAGCUGCGGCUAACUACGUGCCAGCAGCCGCGGUAAUACGUAGGCAGCAAGCGUUGUUCGGAAUUACUGGGCGUAAAGCGUGCGUAGGCGGUGGCUCAAGUUUGGUGUGAAAUCUCCCGGCUCAACUGGGAGGGUGCGCCGAAAACUGAGUUGCUCGAGUGUGGGAGAGGUAGGCGGAAUUCCUGGUGUAGCGGUGAAAUGCGUAGAUAUCAGGAGGAACACCGGCGGUGUAGACGGCUUACUGGACCAUAACUGACGCUGAGGCACGAAAGUGUGGGGAGCAAACAGGAUUAGAAACCCCAGUAGUCC
rnacentral:rRNA from 1 species